rnacentral:rRNA from 1 species
UACGUAGGGGGCAAGCGUUGUCCGGAUUUAUUGGGCGUAAAGAGCGUGUAGGCGGCCAGGUAGGUCCGUUGUGAAAAACUCGAGGCUCAACCUCGAGACGCCGAUGGAAACCAUCUGGCUAGAGUCCGGAAGAGGAGAGUGGAAAUUCCUGGUGUAGCGGUGAAAUGCGUAGAUAUCUGGAGGAACACCGGUGGCGAAGGCGACGUCCUGGACCCGGCAGUUGACGCUGAGACGCGAAAGCCAGGGGGAGCAAACGGG